rnacentral:sRNA from 1 species
AUACGUAUUGACAAUGGUCUGCAUAGCU